AACGAACGCUGGCGGCAGGCCUAACACAUGCAAGUCGAGCGGACCUUUCGGGGUCAGCGGCGGACGGGUGAGUAACGCGUGGGAAUAUGCCCUUCUCUACGGAAUAGUCCUGGGAAACUGGGGGUAAUACCGUAUACGCCCUUUGGGGGAAAGAUUUAUCGGGGAAGGAUUAGCCCGCGUUGGAUUAGGUAGUUGGUGUGGUAAUGGCCUACCAAGCCGACGAUCCAUAGCUGGUUUGAGAGGAUGAUCAGCCACACUGGGACUGAGACACGGCCCAGACUCCUACGGGAGGCAGCAGUGGGGAAUCUUAGACAAUGGGGGCAACCCUGAUCUAGCCAUGACGCGUGAGUGAUGAAGGCCUUAGGGUUGUAAAGCUCUUUCAGCUGGGAAGAUAAUGACGGUACCAGCAGAAGAAGCCCCGGCUAACUCCGUG
rnacentral:rRNA from 1 species